GACGAACGCUGGCGGCGUGCUUAACACAUGCAAGUCGAACGGAAAGGCCCUGCUUUUGUGGGGUGCUCGAGUGGCGAACGGGUGAGUUACACGUGAGUAACCUGCCACUGACUUUGGGAUAACUUCAGGAAACUGGGGCUAAUACCGGAUAGGAGUUCCUGCUGCAUGGUGGGGGUUGGAUAGUUUCGGCGGUUGGGGAUGGACUCGCGGCUUAUCAGCUUGUUGGUGGGGUAGUGGCUUACCAAGGCUUUGACGGGUAGCCGGCCUGAGAGGGUGACCGGCCACAUUAGGACUGAGAUGCGACCCAGACUACUACGGGAGGCAGCGGUGGGGAAGAUAGCACAAUGGGCGGAGGCCAGACGCAGCAACGCCGCGUGCGGGAUGACGGCCUUCGGGUUGGAAACUGCUUUCGCCUGUGACGAAGCGUUAAUGACGGUAAUGGGUAAAGAAGCACCGGCUAACUACGUG
rnacentral:rRNA from 1 species